rnacentral:rRNA from 1 species
UACGGAGGGUGCAAACGUUGUUCGGAAUCACUGGGCAUAAAGCGCACGUAGGCUGUCUCGUAAGUGUGGAGUGAAAUCCCACGGCUCAACCGUGGAACUGCUUGGCAUACUGCGAGACUCGAGGACGGUAGGGGAGAGCGGAACUCCUGGUGGAGCGGUGAAAUGCGUAGAUAUCAGGAGGAACACCGGUGGCGAAGGCGGGUCUCUGGGCCGAUACUGACGCUGAGGAGCGAAAGCGUGGGGAGCGAACAGG